rnacentral:rRNA from 1 species
GUCUAUGGCCAUGCUACCCUGAACAAGCCCGAUCCCGUCUGAUAACGGAAGCUAAGCAGGGUCGGGCUUGGUUAGUACUUGGAUGGGAGAUCAUCUAAGACCAAGUGCUGUACGUG